CACAAUGCGCGAAAGCGUGAUGGGGUUAGCCCGAGUGCUGUCCGAAAAGGAUGGCUUUUCCUGGCGUAAAAACCCAAGGGAAUAAAGGGGGGGCAAGACUGGUGUCAGCCGCCGCGGUAAUACCAGCCCCCUGAGUGGUAAGGACGAUUAUUUGGCUUAAAGCGUCCGUAGCCGGCUUAGUGAGUCUCUUGUUAAAUCCAAUGAUUCAAUCAUUGAACUGCAAGAGAUACUACUAUGCUAGAGGACGGGAGAGGUCGACGGUAGUCCAAGGGUAGGGGUGAAAUCCUAUAAUCCUUGGAGGACCACCAGUGGCGAAGGCGGUCGACUAGAACGUGCCUGACGGUGAGGGACGAAAGCUGGGGGAGCGAACCGGAUUAGAUACCCGGGUAGUCCCAGCUGUAAACGAUGCUGGCUAGGUGUAGGGGCAGCUACGAGCUGCUCCUGUGCCGCAGAGAAAUUGUUAAGCCCGCCGCCUGGGGAGUACGAUCGCAAGAUUGAAACUUAAAGGAAUUGG
rnacentral:rRNA from 1 species